rnacentral:snRNA from 11 species
AGCUAUGCACAGUGGCAGUAUCAUAGCCAAUGAGGUUUAUCCAAGGCAUGAUUAUUGCUAAUUGGAAACAAUAAAUAAAUGAAA